rnacentral:snRNA from 1 species
ACAUCAAACACAACAACAACAA